rnacentral:rRNA from 1 species
CACACGGUCUGCGUGUGGGCGUGUGGUGAGCGCGGUUCGGUUGGUAGGUUGGCAGGCGAGCUGGCUGGUCGUUGUCGCCGCAACUGCUGGCUGGCUGGCUGGCUGGCUGGCUGACUGGCUAGGCGGUGGGUUGGCGGGACGGCUGGGUGGUUUGCUUGCUGGCUGGGCUGGCUGGUGCGAUGCUGCACUACUACUGCUUGCGUGCAGUGAGCGUGUGUUGGCAGGGAUUGUGUUGCCGUGGCCAUGAAGAAGCACUGUCGUGUCAAGCUGGCAAGGCGAUGGUGUCACCUUUGAGCCAUGUCUGUGGUGUAACAGCUACAGGUGUGGACGGGUGUUGGGCAGCGCUCUGCACACGUUGUGGAGUCUGUCGGCUCGUCUGCAUGCCUUUGGAUGCCCUUAAAAAGGUGUCUGCGGGCGGAUGGCACGUUUACUUUGAACAAAUUUGAGUGCUCAAAUCAGGCCGAUGUUGCCUGAAAAGUUUUGCAUGGAAUAAUGGAAUAGGACUUCGGUUCUAUUUCGUUGGUUUUCGGAUCCGAAGUAAUGAUCAAAAGAGACAGGCGGGGACGUUUUAUGGCUGCGCUAGAGGUGAAAUUCAUGGACCGUAGCCAGACAGACUAAAGCGAAAGCAUUCGUCAAGCAUGUUUUCAUUGGCCAUGAGCGAAAGUCAGAGGCUCGAAGACGAUCAGAUACCGUCCUAGUUCUGACCAUAAACGAUGCCAACUGACGAUCCGUGGUGGUAGUAGUGUUACCUUCCCCACGGGCAGUCCCCGGGAAACCUUUAAGUGUUUGGGUUCCGGGGGAAGUAUGGUUGCAAAGCUGAAACUUAAAGGAAUUGACGGAAGGGCACCACCAGGAGUGGAGCCUGCGGCUUAAUUUGACUCAACACGGGAAAACUCACCCGGGCCGGACACUGUGAGGAUUGACAGAUUGAGAGCUCUUUCUUGAUUUGGUGGUUGGUGGUGCAUGGCCGUUCUUAGUUGGUGGAGCGAUUUGUCUGGUUAAUUCCGAUAACGAACGAGACUCCAACCUGCUAAUUAGUGCGUUUGUCCACUGCGCCUGCGUAGGUGACGCUGGAUGACACCACCUGUCACGAGGACGUGGCAGCGGCUCUUCUCUCCCCUUCUCCGCUCGAAUGCCCUCCAGCGCCUCCUCCUCCUCCUCCUCCUCUCCUCCCCCUUCUUCAGCGCCUCAUCUGGCCGGCUGGCUGGCUGGCCGGGUGAGGCGGUGGUGGCGGUGGCGGUGGUGAGGGCGAUGGGUGGGGAUGGUGCGGGUGGGCGAGUGGAUUGUGGUGGAGGCGUGGGGUUGGGUGCGGCGCUCGUGGCCGGUUAGUCUGGCGUUGGCCUCCGGGUGUGGCGCGAAUGCCUACUUCUUAGAGGGACAAGCGGGAGAAGCCGCACGAAAUAGAGCAAUAACAGGUCUGUGAUGCCCUUAGAUGUCCGGGGCCGCACGCGCGCUACAAUGACGGUGUCAGCGAGUCAGGCCUUCUGGCCCGAAAGGGUUGGGCAAACUGGUCAAUCACCGUCGUGACAGGGAUCGGGGCUUGGAAUUGUUCCCCGUGAACGAGGAAUUCCUAGUAAGUGCAAGUCAUAAGCUUGCGCUGAUUACGUCCCUGCCCUUUGUACACACCGCCCGUCGCUACUACCGAUUGAAUGGUUUAGUAAGGUCCUCGGAUUGGCGUCAUUGCGACGGUGGCCGAGAGGUCACAGCCCGAGGGGCGCUGAGAAGACGACCGAACUUGAUCAUUUAGAGGAAGUAAAAGUCGUAACAAGGUUUCCGUAGGUGAACCUGCGGAAG